rnacentral:rRNA from 1 species
UACGGAGGGGGCUAGCGUUGUUCGGAAUUACUGGGCGUAAAGGGUGCGUAGGCGGUAUUCCAAGUCGGGCGUGAAAGGCCUGGGCUCAACCCGGGAACUGCGUUCGAGACUGGCAUACUGGAGUCCGGGAGAGGUGAGCGGAAUUCCCAGUGUAGAGGUGAAAUUCGUAGAUAUUGGGAAGAACACCGGUGGCGAAGGCGGCUCACUGGACCGGUACUGACGCUGAGGCACGACAGCGUGGGGAGCAAACAGGAUUAGAAACCCCGGUAGUCC